rnacentral:rRNA from 1 species
GCGUAAUAGCUCACUGGUCGAGUGAUCCUGCGCCGAAAAUUUCCGGGGCUAAAACGUACUACCGAAGCUACGGCAUCAUUAUGAUGGGUAGGGGAGCUUCGUAUGCAGGUUGAAGCAUGACCGUAAGGACAUGUGGACAGUAUACGAGUGAGAAUGUUGGCAUGAGUAGCGAGAUGUGGGUGAGAAUCCCACAGGCCGUAAACCCAAGGUUUCCAGGGGAAGGUUCGUCCGCCCUGGGUUAGUCAGGACCUAAGCCGAGGCCGAAAGGCGUAGGUGAUGGACAACAGGUUGAUAUUCCUGUACCACCAAUAACCGUUUGAGAAAUGGGAUGACACAGUAGGAUAAGCUAACCGCACUGUUGGUUAUGUGCGGGCAAGUAUUGAGGCAGUUCUAAUAGGCAAAUCCGUUAGAAUAAUGCUGGGGUACGAUGCGGAGCGAAAUUUAGUAGCGAAGUAGCUGAUUUCACACUGUCGAGAAAAGUCUCUAUCGAGGUUAAAGGUGCCUGUACCGCAAACCGACACAGGUGGGUGAGGAGAGUAUCCUAAGGCCAGCGAGAGAACUGUUGUUAAGGAACUCGGCAAAAUGACCCCGUAACUUAGGGAGAAGGGGUGCCAUCGAAAGAUGGCCGCAGAGAAUAGGCCCAAGCGACUGUUUACCAAAAACAUAGGUUUCUGCUAAGUCGCAAGACGAUGUAUAGGAGCUGACGCCUGCCCGGUGCUGGAAGGUUAAGGGGAUCUGUUAGAGCAAUCGAAGCAGUGAACUUAAGCCCCAGUAAACGGCGGCCGUAACUAUAACGGUCCUAAGGUAGCGAAAUUCCUUGUCGGGUAAGUUCCGACCCGCACGAAAGGCGUAACGAUUUGGGCACUGUCUCAACAACAGACUCGGUGAAAUUGUAAUACCGGUGAAGAUGCCGGUUACCUGCGACAGGACGGAAAGACCCCAUGGAGCUUUACUGUAGCUUGACAUUGAGUCUCGGUGCUACAUGUACAGGAUAGGUGGGAGGCUAUGAAGCAUGGACGUCAGUCUGUGUGGAGCCAUCCUUGGGAUACCACCCUUGUAGUACUGGGAUUCUAACCAGCUGCCUUGAAUCAGGUAGUGGGACACUGUCAGGUGGACAGUUUGACUGGGGCGGUCGCCUCCUAAAAAGUAACGGAGGCGCUCAAAGGUUCUCUCAGCACGGUCGGAAAUCGUGCAUAGAGUGUAAAGGCAUAAGAGAGCUUGAUUGCAAGACAUACAGGUCGAGCAAGGACGAAAGUCGGACUUAGUGAUCCGGUGGUACCGCAUGGAAGGGCCAUCGCUCAACGGAUAAAAGCUACCCUGGGGAUAACAGGCUGAUCUCCCCCAAGAGUCCACAUCGACGGGGAGGUUUGGCACCUCGAUGUCGGCUCAUCACAUCCUGGGGCUGUAGUAGGUCCCAAGGGUUGGGCUGUUCGCCCAUUAAAGUGGUACGCGAGCUGGGUUCAGAACGUCGUGAGACAGUUCGGUCCCUAUCUG